CUAAUGGCUCUUCUAGGAGCCAUCAACAAGGAAGAAUGAAGCAGUCU
rfam:Chaetura pelagica isolate M959 contig57988, whole genome shotgun sequence.